AAGAUUUUAAGUUAAAUAAAAACUAAAAGCCUUCAAAGCUUAAAAUAAACUUUUUUUUAAAUCUUA
rnacentral:tRNA from 1 species